GUGUUAGUUCACUAACACAUAUACAAACAUUGGAACAAUACACAGAAUUAGAUUAGCAUGGUCCCUGCGCAAGGGUGACACGCAAAUUCCUCAUGUUCUGGCAAACUCGU